UUAUAGUCCAAAGCAACGCAAUUUUCUUGUGAUAAGUUAAAAUAUUAAAGUUAACCAUAUUUAAUUUUAGCCAUCAAUCUUUCCCUACUCCUGUUUUCAGGAUUUUUUCUUUUUUGCAAGAAAAAAUGAAAUUUACUAGUAAACAUUGUUAAAAAUUUUUUAGGCAAAUUAAAUUAAUAGAGUUUAAUUGAGCAAAGAACAAAUUGCUGAUUGGUACACGUCCAGUGAGGUUACAGUUCAUUACCUACAGAGAAACGUUUAGACUGAAC
rnacentral:lncRNA from 1 species